GUGAAUCAUCGAAUUUUUGAACGCAAAUUGCACUCUCUGGUAUGACUAUGAGUGUCUGUGUGUGAGCCUCAAAAAAAUUUACAUAGUGGGUGUUUCGUGGUUACAUUCGUCGGGAAUUGGGUCUUGUUAGACCUUUCGGUUUAAGCGGCUUAAAAUUUUCUUUAUGAUUUCAAGAACGUUGCUAAGAUUGUAUCUUCUUAUACGUUUAAGUUAUCGAUCUUUAUUAGACGUGGCCGUUGUAUGGGAUGGCGUCUAUAAAUAUUACG
rnacentral:misc_RNA from 1 species